rnacentral:misc_RNA from 1 species
GGGGUUCUUCUUCGUGGUUAUCAGGUUUUCCAAAAGCUUUAACAAGUGCGAAACGCGAUUUAUGAACAAAUUGUAGCCCCCAACAGAAACCGAAUCCAGAAUAUUAAAAAGCAAUUGCUUUGCAAUAAGAGUCGUUUCUGACUUCAAUUUGUAAAACCCUAAUUAAGUUUCAAUCACAGGUUUAAAGAGAAAACAUGGGCGAGGAAUUGUUCACUGCAAUUGACAUUGAAUCUGCAGCCCAGAAUACCCUUCUGCGUGAACAAGAAAUUGAAACCCAAAGAGUUCUACAAGUUCAAAGAGAGGCAGGUGAAGCGCGUGCAACUCCAAAAGAUGAUACAGAUAUUUUUGCUGAUCGCCGUGAUCCCAGUGCUUUAAAGGAGCAUCUACUGAAGAUCACCAGUGAACAUCGUGCAGAAAUGGCUUUAAAGCGCGGGAAACCUGCUGUUGUUGAAGAAGGACAUGUAGAAAUUGGUAAUGGCUAUGGUGUACCUGGUGGAGGGGCAUAUUAUGGUUCUUCAAGGCCAGAACUUAAUACAGAGUCUGAAAAGAAGUCUGCUACUAAGGAACUCCCUGAGUACCUUAAGCAGAAGCUGAGAGCAAGGGGUAUUCUUAAAGAUGACACAGGAAAAGGCGAUCCGUUAAAAGAUGACACUAAUUUGGAGACAAGUUCAACUCAACCUGUUAAUAUUGGAAAGUUGCCUUCUGGAUGGGUGGAAGCAAAAGAUCCCACCAGUGGUUCUACAUAUUAUUACAAUGAAAGCAUUGGAAAGAGUCAGUGGGAAAGGCCUAUUGAAAUGUCUUCAAUUACACAAAUGCCGUCACCUCUACUUCUUCUAGAAGACUGGGUUGAGGCAUUGGAUGAAACUUCUGCUCAAAAGUAUUACUACAAUACAAAGACCAAUGUGUCACAGUGGGAGCAUCCUAUUUCUUCACAGAUUGUUGCCUCACAACAACGCUGUAACAUCUCAGAUUCUGGAAAUCAUGGUUGGAAUGAUCAAUCAUCUGAGCGAAAGAAAUGCUUGGGAUGUGGUGGAUGGGGAGUAGGCCUUGUACAAGAAUGGGGCUUUUGCAAUCAUUGCACACGAGUUCUGAAUCUUGCACAGUGCCACAGCUCAACAUCUAGUUUCAAUAACCAGCAGCGGACCAGCAAUCUUGGAAAUGUCAAAAGAGAUUUUGAUAAAAAGGAUUCGAAGCAGAGGUCCAAUUUGAAACCUCCUGUGGCCAAAGGAAACAGAAGAGAAAGCAGAAAGCGUGCAUAUAUUGAAGAUGAUGAGUUGGAUCCUAUGGACCCAAGCUCUUAUUCAGAUGCUCCCCGUGGUGGUUGGGUUGUUGGCCUGAAAGGAGUGCAGCCACGAGCAGCCGACACUACUGCUACAGGUCCUCUGUUUCAACAACGGCCAUACCCAUCUCCAGGAGCUGUCUUGCGAAAGAACGCUGAAAUUGCUUCGCAAGCCAAAAAAUAUGGUUCUCAUUAUGCACCUAUCUCAAAGAAAGGGGAUGGGAGUGAUGGGCUUGGUGAUGCAGACUGAGGUUCUGAUUGAAAUAGUGUGGAUUUGUGAAAAUGGAUGGUGGUUUCAGGGCUGGAACUAACGGUGACAUGAAAGUAGGAGGCCGGUGUAGCUGUGAGCGGAGGCUAAUUGGUUUCAGGCAUUUUGGGUUUUUCCGUCAACAAAUGUCCAUUUCAUGGUUUUGCAAGAGAAUGGUCGGACUAGCAGUGUAGCAUGGAAUGCCUGCGCCUGCUUUGCAGGAAAUGAAACGGUUUCUCCAACACACUUGUGCAUUCUGCAGUUUUGUAUGGUUCAUCAUGUACUUUAUACUCCCCUUUCUUCCUGUUCUUUUUAUAUAUUUAUUUUAAAAUAUGAUUCAUAAUAACUCUUAGGAUCCAAGAUUAUUAUUAUUAUUAUUAUUAU